GACGAACGCUGGCGGCGUGCUUAACACAUGCAAGUCGAACGAUGAAGCUAGAGCUUGCUCUGGUGGAUUAGUGGCGAACGGGUGAGUAACACGUGAGUAACCUGCCCCGAACUCUGGGAUAACUGCUGGAAACGGUAGCUAAUACCGGAUAUGACCAAUGAAGGCAUCUUCUGUUGGUGGAAAGAAUUUCGGUUCGGGAUGGACUCGCGGCCUAUCAGCUUGUUGGUGAGGUAACGGCUCACCAAGGCGACGACGGGUAGCCGGCCUGGGAGGGUGAUCGGCCACACGGGGACUGGGACACGGCCCAGACGCCUACGGGAGGCGGCAGUGGGGAAGAUUGCACAAUGGGCGCAAGCCUGAUGCAGCAACGCCGCGUGAGGGAUGAAGGCCUUCGGGUUGUAAACCUCUUUUAGCAGGGAAGAAGCGAAAGUGACGGUACCUGCAGAAAAAGCACCGGCUAACUACGUGCCAGCCGCCGCCGUAA
rnacentral:rRNA from 1 species